GAUGAACGCUGGCGGCGUGCCUAAUACAUGCAAGUCGAGCGAACAGACGAGGAGCUUGCUCCUCUGACGUUAGCGGCGGACGCGUGAGUAACACGUGGAUAACCUACCUAUAAGACUGGGAUAACUUCGGGAAACCGGAGCUAAUACCGGAUAAUAUAUUGAACCGCAUGGUUCAAUAGUGAAAGACGGUUUUGCUGUCACUUAUAGAUGGAUCCGCGCCGCAUUAGCUAGUUUGUAAGGUAACGGCUUACCAAGGCAACGAUGCGUAGCCGACCUGAGAGGGUGAUCGGCCACACUGGAACUGAGACACGGUCCAGACUCCUACGGGAGGCAGCAGUAGGGAAUCUUCCGCAAUGGGCGAAAGCUUGACGGAGCAACGCCGCGUGAGUGAUGAAGGUCUUCGGAUCGUAAAACUCUGUUAUUAGGGAAGAACAAAUGUGUAAGUAACUAUGCACGUCUUGACGGUACCUAAUCAGAAAGCCACGGCUAACUACGUG
rnacentral:rRNA from 1 species